UACGAAGGGGGGCUAGCGUUGCUCGGAAUUACUGGGCGUAAAGGGCGCGUAGGCGGACAGUUUAGUCAGAGGUGAAAGCCCAGGGCUCAACCUUGGAAUUGCCUUUGAUACUGGCUGUCUUGAGUUCGGGAGAGGUGAGUGGAAUGCCGAGUGUAGAGGUGAAAUUCGUAGAUAUUCGGCGGAACACCAGUGGCGAAGGCGACUCACUGGCCCGAUACUGACGCUGAGGCGCCGAAAAGCGUGGGGGAGCAAACAGG
rnacentral:rRNA from 1 species